UCUUCGCAUGUGAUAUUUGGACAUCCUAUAUCCAUAUAAACUGAUCCGUAACCUGCAAAUUUCAAGUAUAUUAGUAAUAGUGGUUUCAAAUGUGUUGCUUUCAUUGGUAUUGAAAUAAGUUGUGACAAACAGGUUCUGAAUCUGAUCCAAGCCUAUUUAUUCAGAAGAAGAAGAACCAAGGGAUACUAAAAAGAGAGCUCUAAAGCGUACCAUGUUCGUUCAGAACAGUGGCAAAUCCUUCAGAAGUUCUGAAGAUGCAAGCUCUUAAGAGGUUCUGAAGAACCAGAGUCAGAAGUUCUGAAGACCAGAUGUUCCAGUGGAACGGUCCAGAAGCAGAAGACUCAAGUUCUGAAGACCUGCAAGAAGUUGGUUCUGAAGACCCAAGCUAUUCUAGCUCUGACGUUCAGAAGUUCUGAGGAACUUGUUCAGAAGCAGAAGUUGCAAGGUCAGAAGAAUCCAAGCUUUAAUCUGACAAGGAUCAGAAGCUUCACCAACGUUCAUCUGAAGCCUUCAGAUCUCAAGUCAACUGGUGAAAGGACAGGUCGCUAUCAUAGUACAAUAUCGUACAAGUCUCAGUCUGUCCGCCACCUACCUCGUGCAGCCUAGCAGUCUGAUUUUACAAGAUUUCCACUCCAACGGACAAAACCCUAGCAACGGCUACAUCACAAGUCUUGGAGUAUAUAAAGGCUGAAGAAAGAAGAAAGAGGCUAAGAAACUUUGUUGAAAUCAUUCAACAUUUACGAACCAAUCUCUUAGCAUUAUUUCUUCACUGUUCUUAAACAUCUGAGUUUACUAUCAGCUUUUUAGAAGCACUUAUUGUAAACCCGAAACCUUUACAUUACUUUGUAAAGUUCCUUGUAAGGCCCUAGACUUGUCUUAGUGCCAUUUAUGCAAAACUUUGAAUAAAAUGAAUUUUUAAGUUAA